GUGACAUUACUUAACACAGUGCCUUGGA
rnacentral:piRNA from 1 species